CGGAGCAACGCCCGCUUGAAUGAUGAAGUUUUUCGGAUCGUAAAGCUCUGUUGUUAGGGAAGACCAAGUGCAAGAGUAACUGCUUGCACCUUGACGGUACCUAACCAGAAAGCCACGGCUAAGUACGUGCCAGCAGCCGCGGUAAUACGUAGGUGGCAAGCGUUGUCCGGAAUUAUUGGGCGUAAAGGGCUCGCAGGCGGUUUCUUAAGUCUGAUGUGAAAGCCCCCGGCUCAACCGCGGAGGGUCAUUGGAAACUGGGAAACUUGAGUGCAGAAGAGGAGAGUGGAAUUCCACGUGUAGCGGUGAAAUGCGUAGAGAUGUGGAGGAACACCAGUGGCGAAGGCGACUCUCUGGUCUGUAACUGACGCUGAGGAGCGAAAGCGUGGGGAGCGAACAGGAUUAGAUACCCUGGUAGUCCACGCCGUAAACGAUGAGUGCUAAGUGUUAGGGGGUCUCCGCCCCUUAGUGCUGCAGCUAACGCAUUAAGCACUCCGCCUGGGGAGUACGGUCGCAAGACUGAAACUCAAAGGAAUUGACGGGGGCCCGCACAAGCGGUGGAGCAUGUGGUUUAAUUCGAAGCAACGCGAAGAACCUUACCAGGUCUUGACAUCCUCUGACAACCCUAGAGAUAGGGCUUUCCCUUCGGGGACAGAGUGACAGGUGGUGCAUGGUUGUCGUCAGCUCGUGUCGUGAGAUGUUGGGUUAAGUCCCGCAACGAGCGCAACCCUUGAUCUUAGUUGCCAGCAUUCAGUUGGGCACUCUAAGGUGACUGCCGGUGACAAACCGGAGGAAGGUGGGGAUGACGUCAAAUCAUCAUGCCCCUUAUGACCUGGGCUACACACGUGCUACAAUGGACAGAACAAAGGGCUGCGAGACCGCAAGGUUUAGCCAAUCCCACAAAUCUGUUCUCAGUUCGGAUCGCAGUCUGCAACUCGACUGCGUGAAGCUGGAAUCGCUAGUAAUCGCGGAUCAGCAUGCCGCGGUGAAUACGUUCCCGGGCCUUGUACACACCGCCCGUCACACCACGAGAGUUUGCAACACCCGAAGUCGGUGAGGUAACCUUUAUGGAGCCAGCCGCC
rnacentral:rRNA from 1 species